UGGGCUUGAAGAUUAGCUUAGA
rnacentral:miRNA from 1 species